rnacentral:rRNA from 1 species
GACGAACCGUACGAACGUUAUUCGGAAUUACUGGGCUUAAAGGGUGCGUAGGCGGUGCGGAAAGUUGGGUGUGAAAUACCUCAGCUUAACUGAGGAACAGCAUUCAAAACUUCCGUGCUUGAGGGAGAUAGAGGUGAGCGGAACUUAGGGUGGAGCGGUGAAAUGCGUUGAUAUCCUAAGGAACACCGGUGGCGAAAGCGGCUCACUGGAUCUCUUCUGACGCUGAGGCACGAAAGCUAGGGUAGCGAACAGG